GCGGCCAGGGAUGUUGGCAACCUCAGGAAGAGGUCGGUGUAUCAGGAUGAUAUAUCGGACAAGGACUGUGAAGGGAUAAUCGAAAGGAGUCGAUAACGUAAGUAGGAUGCUUACGGGUCAGGAAGACAAAAUGGACCACUUCAGGAUGAAGUAAGGGACACCUCCAGGAUGGAGAAGAGAGUCGAAACAGGAUGCUUCGACGGGUCAAGGCGAGACCAACAGGACAUAUCCAGGACGGAUAGAUAAGGGACUGCGCUGAAGGAAACAGCUUAAUCAAGGAAUGAUGCAGGGAGCACCAUCGUAGCGGGAUUGCUGCAAAAAAGACCAAGGGCGCGACUUAUGUCGCGCCCGCUCUUUUUGGG
rnacentral:other from 1 species